rnacentral:rRNA from 1 species
AUGCACAUUCUCUUCAGUACGAAAGGACCAAGAAAAUAGGACCAAUAUCCCCAACAAGUCCUUCUCCUAUGAAACUAUAUUAAUCCUACAGUACCUCACUACCCAAAAACAGGGC